AAAUUGAAGAGUUUGAUCAUGGCUCAGAUUGAACGCUGGCGGCAGGCCUAACACAUGCAAGUCGAGCGGAAACGAGUUAUCUGAACCUUCGGGGAACGAUAACGGCGUCGAGCGGCGGACGGGUGAGUAAUGCCUAGGAAAUUGCCCUGAUGUGGGGGAUAACCAUUGGAAACGAUGGCUAAUACCGCAUGAUGCCUACGGGCCAAAGAGGGGGACCUUCGGGCCUCUCGCGUCAGGAUAUGCCUAGGUGGGAUUAGCUAGUUGGUGAGGUAAGGGCUCACCAAGGCGACGAUCCCUAGCUGGUCUGAGAGGAUGAUCAGCCACAC
rnacentral:rRNA from 1 species